GACGAACGCUGGCGGCGUGCUUAACACAUGCAAGUCGAACGGAAAGGCCCUGCUUUUGUGGGGUGCUCGAGUGGCGAACGGGUGAGUAACACGUGAGUAACCUGCCCUUGACUUUGGGAUAACUUCAGGAAACUGGGGCUAAUACCGGAUAGGAGCUCCUGCUGCAUGGUGGGGGUUGGAAAGUUUCGGCGGUUGGGGAUGGACUCGCGGCUUAUCAGCUUGUUGGUGGGGUAGUGGCUUACCAAGGCUUUGACGGGUAGCCGGCCUGAGAGGGUGACCGGCCACAUUGGGACUGCGAUACGGCCCAGACUCCUACGGGAGGCAGCAGUGGGGAAUAUUGCACAAUGGGCGGAAGCCUGAUGCAGCAACGCCGCGUGCGGGAUGCCGGCCUUCGGGUUGUAAACCGCUUUCGCCUGUGACGAAGCGUGAGUGACGGUAAUGGGUAAAGAAGCACCGGCUAACUACGUG
rnacentral:rRNA from 1 species